CUCCAGACUCCUACGGGAGGCAGCAGUGGGGAAUAUUGCACAAUGGGGGAAACCCUGAUGCAGCGACGCCGCGUGAGCGAUGAAGUAUUUCGGUAUGUAAAGCUCUAUCAGCAGGGAAGAAAAUGACGGUACCUGACUAAGAAGCCCCGGCUAACUACGUGCCAGCAGCCGCGGUAAUACGUAGGGGGCAAGCGUUAUCCGGAUUUACUGGGUGUAAAGGGAGCGUAGACGGCGGUGCAAGCCAGAUGUGAAAGCCCGGGGCUCAACCCCGGGACUGCAUUGGAAACUGCGAGGCUGGAGUGUCGGAGAGGCAGGCGGAAUUCCUAGUGUAGCGGUGAAAUGCGUAGAUAUUAGGAGGAACACCAGUGGCGAAGGCGGCCUGCUGGACGAUGACUGACGCUGAGGCUCGAAAGCGUGGGGAGCAAACAGGAUUAGAUACCCCCGUAA
rnacentral:rRNA from 1 species